GACGAACGCUGGCGGCGUGCUUAACACAUGCAAGUCGAACGGAAAGGCCCUGCUUUUGUGGGGUGCUCGAGUGGCGCACGGGUGAGUAACACGUGAGUAACCUGCCCUUGACUUUGGGAUAACUUCAGGAAACUGGGGCUAAUACCGGAUAGGAGCUCCUGCUGCAUGGUGGGGGUUGGAAAGUUUCGGCGGUUGGGGAUGGACUCGCGGCUUAUCAGCUUGUUGGUGGGGUAGUGGCUUACCAAGGCUUUGACGGGUAGCCGGCCUGAGAGGGUGACCGGCCACAUUGGGACUGAGAUACGGCGCAGACUCCUACGGGAGGCAGCAGGGGGGAAUAUUGCACAAUGGGCGGAAGCCUGAUGCAGCAACGCCGCGUGCGGGAUGACGGCCUUCGGGUUGUAAACCGCUUUCGCCUGUGACGAAGCGUGAGUGACGGUAAUGGGUAAAGAAGCACCGGCUAACUACGUG
rnacentral:rRNA from 1 species